rnacentral:rRNA from 1 species
AACGAACGCUGGCGGCAUGCCUAACACAUGCAAGUCGAACGAUGCUUUCGGGCAUAGUGGCGCACGGGUGCGUAACGCGUGGGAAUCUGCCCUUGGGUUCGGGAUAACUGUUGGAAACGACAGCUAAUACCGGAUGAUAUCGCGAGAUCAAAGAUUUAUCGCCUGAGGAUGAGCCCGCGUCGGAUUAGCUAGUUGGUGGGGUAAAGGCCUACCAAGGCGACGAUCCGUAGCUGGUCUGAGAGGAUGAUCAGCCACACUGGGACUGAGACACGGCCCAGACUCCUACGGGAGGCAGCAGUGGGGAAUAUUGGACAAUGGGCGCAAGCCUGAUCCAGCAAUGCCGCGUGAGUGAUGAAGGCCUUAGGGUUGUAAAGCUCUUUUACCCGGGAUGAUAAUGACAGUACCGGGAGAAUAAGCCCCGGCUAACUCCGUGCCAGCAGCCGCGGUAAUACGGAGGGGGCUAGCGUUGUU